UUUUUUUUAUUAGCACAAACACAUUUAUUUAUUAACCAAAGGGAUGAUCCUAAUUAAUCCAACACACUUUGAAAUAGCUGUAUGUAAAAUGUUUGGGAUAAAGAUAAUUGAACACAGUAAUGAAAAAAAAAAAAAAAGAAACGGUAUGGAGAUUUGCUCAUUGAACUGAGCUUGGUCAUUCUCUUAGUUAACUCCUGUCCAAAGUGAUGAUGGAAUUUUUAUUCUACUUUUUCAUAGAUCCGAGUACAGGUGACACUGUUCAUGACACAGUCCACCACUAAUUUCCCAUCUUUCAAUUUUCUUCUUAUUGUGUUUUCCUUCCCAUCCCACUCCUGAUGUUGAACCAAUGCACCAUCUGUAAAGUUGCACACAGUCUGAGUUUUUCUGCCAUCAGCUGUGGUUUCUUCAAACUUCUCUCCCAGGGUACAAGAAAACUGUGUUGUUUUCAAAGUGCUCUCGGUUUUUAUGGUGAGGUUUUUGCCAUCACAAGUGAUGAUACAAUCUGGCUUGGCUAUUGUGUCCAUUUUUCGCAAAGCUAUUCCCACUCCUAGCUCCUUCACAUAUUCAUCAAAGCCUCUGCUGUCCACCAGGCGCCAUCUUCCUUCCAGCUGCUGAACUGUGGCCAUG
rnacentral:lncRNA from 1 species